rnacentral:rRNA from 1 species
GACGAACGCUGGCGGCGUGCCUAAUACAUGCAAGUCGAGCGAAGUUUUUCUGGUGCUUGCUCUAGAAAAACUUAGCGGCGAACGGGUGAGUAACACGUAAAGAACCUGCCUCAUAGACUGGGACAACUAUUGGAAACGAUAGCUAAUACCGGAUAACAGUAUUUCUCGCAUGAGAGAUAUUUAAAAGUUGGUUAUGCUAACACUAUGAGAUGGCUUUGCGGUGCAUUAGCUAGUUGGUGGGGUAAAGGCCCACCAAGGCGACGAUGGAUAGCCGACCUGAGAGGGUGAUCGGCCACACGGGGACUGAGACACGGCCCAGACUCCUACGGGAGGCAGCAGUAGGGAAUGUUCCGUAAUGGGGGAAAGCCUGACGGAGCAACGCCGCGUGAGUGAAGAAGGAUUUCGGUUCGUAAAGCUCUGUUGUUAGGGAAGAAUGGAUAUGGAGUAACUAUACAUGUAAGAGACGGUACCUAACCAGAAAGCCACGGCUAACUACGUG